UCCCCAGGUCUCCUCAAGCCCAGAGCAAUCUGGUGCCUAUGACCCCACAAGCCCUAGAAAAGGAAUGGGAGAGGAGGGAGAGUUGGAGGAAGCCGGUGGGUAGACAAGGUCAAAACACAGGGGCAGUGGGUGCUGAUGAAGCCAUGACCAGGGUCAUGGAAGGGGUGGAGGAAGGUUCCCAGCUGCCUAGGCCAUAGAAGCCUGGCCCACCAGGGCUGGAAGAGAGCUUAGAUAUCACCCUGUCCACGUUUCUCAAGAAAUGAAGUCCCAGAGGCAUCAAGGAGCUUAUUGAGAUCACACAGUGUAUAAAAGAGAACCCUGGGAGGAAGAUUCUCUUCUAUGAUUGUCUCUAUUUUACGGAUGUGAAAGUAGAGGCCCAGAGACGUGCCGAGGUGAUGUGGCAAGGUCAGGGAGCCACAGAGCCUAAGAGGGCAGCAGUUUAAGAGGACAUAAGAGGCCCCCGCUGGACGAUGCUGCGGCCCCCACCCCCGCCUCACGGGUACACACCCGCGGAGCACACCCCGUGUGCUCCCCGUGUGGCGCCUGCCAGUGGUCUCUGGAACCUGAUGGGGAAGAGGUCAGCUUCCUGAUUGAGCACAGAAGCCCUUCCCAUUUUACAGAUGAGGAAACUGACCUCCGGAGAGGAACGUGACCUUCUCAAAGAUUCCUUUUUUACUAGGAAAGAUUGUUAAAUCCCUCUCCCUACGUCCCCUACUCAAUGACUCAUCGGCCCCACGGACUUGUUCGGGAGUGGGAGCGCCUGUGUAUCCCAGUUCCCCCUUGGAAAUAGACUCGACUCCUGGACUGUUAGCCUCGGUAUUUAGAGAGACAUCCCCCUGGCUUGGCCCAGGGGCCGCUCGCAGGGGCUGUCGCCGUGCCAAGGGCCCCCCCACCUCUGCCCCAAAGUCCCUCCCAGGGAGGCGCUGUCGCAACCCGCGGGACGGGGGCAGGGAGACCGGACCCAGAGGCACUGGGGUAGGGCUCGGCAGGGCGGGUCCGGGCGGAGC
rnacentral:lncRNA from 1 species